AUAGUGGACUGAACCACUGAA
rnacentral:piRNA from 1 species